rnacentral:rRNA from 1 species
UACGGGGGGGGCAAGCGUUGUUCGGAAUUACUGGGCGUAAAGGGCGCGUAGGCGGCCUGCUAAGUCGGAUGUGAAAUCCCUCGGCUCAACCGAGGAACUGCAUCCGAUACUGGCGGGCUUGAAUCCGGGAGAGGGAUGUGGAAUUCCAGGUGUAGCGGUGAAAUUCGUAGAUAUCGAGAGGAACACCGGUGGCGAAGGCGGCGAUCUGGACGAUGACUGACGCUGAGACGCGAAAGCGUGGGGAGCAAACAGG